rnacentral:rRNA from 1 species
UAUUGCGCAAUGGGGGGAACCCUGACGCAGCAACGCCGCGUGGAGGAAGAAGGUCUUCGGAUUGUAAACUCCUGUCUUCUGGGACGAUAAUGACGGUACCAGAGGAGGAAGCCACGGCUAACUACGUGCCAGCAGCCGCGGUAAUACGUAGGUGGCGAGCGUUGUCCGGAAUUACUGGGCGUAAAGGGCGCGUAGGCGGCUUUUUAAGUUAGAUGUGAAAACCCGGGGCUUAACUUCGGGCGUGCAUUUAAAACUGGAGAGCUUGAGUGCAGGAGAGGUAAGUGGAAUUCCUAGUGUAGCGGUGAAAUGCGUAGAUAUUAGGAGGAACACCAGUGGCGAAGGCGACUUACUGGACUGUAACUGACGCUGAGGCGCGAAAGCGGGGGGAGCAAACAGG